rnacentral:rRNA from 1 species
GCACAAGCGGUGGAGCAUGUGGUUAAUUCGACGCAACGCGAAAACCUUACCUACCCUUGACAUGUCCGGAAUCCUGCAGAGAUGCGGGAGUGCCGAAAGGGAAUCGGAACACAGGUGCUGCAUGGCUGUCGUCAGCUCGUGUCGCGAGAUGUUGGGUUAAGUCCCGCAACGAGCGCAACCCUUAUCAUUAGUUGCUACGCAAGGGCACUCUAAUGAGACUGCCGGUGACAAACCGGAGGAAGGUGGGGAUGACGUCAAGUCCUCAUGGCCCUUAUGGGUAGGGCUUCACACGUCAUACAAUGGUCGGUACAGAGGGUUGCCAAGCCGCGAGGUGGAGCCAAUCCCAGAAAGCCGAUCGUAGUCCGGAUUGUUCUCUGCAACUCGAGAGCAUGAAGUCGGAAUCGCUAGUAAUCGCGGAUCAGCAUGUCGCGGUGAAUACGUUCCCGGGUCUU